rnacentral:rRNA from 1 species
UACGUAGGGUGCGAGCGUUAAUCGGAAUUACUGGGCGUAAAGCGUGCGCAGGCGGCCCGCCAAGUCUAUGGGUGAAAUGCCGGGGCUCAACCCCGAGCGUGCCCAGGAUACUGGUGGGCUGGAGACACGUAGAGGCAAGCGGAAUUUCGGGUGAUAGCGGUGGAAUGCGUAGAUAGUCCGAAAGAACACCGGAGGCGAAGGCGGCUUGCUGGGCGUGAUCGUGACGCUGAGGCGCGAAAGCGUGGGGAGCCGAACAGG